CAGUCGCCGCGGUAAUACAGAGGGUGCGAGCGUUAAUCGGAUUUACUGGGCGUAAAGCGUGCGUAGGCGGCUUCUUAAGUCGGAUGUGAAAUCCCUGAGCUUAACUUAGGAAUUGCAUUCGAUACUGGGAAGCUAGAGUAUGGGAGAGGAUGGUAGAAUUCCAGGUGUAGCGGUGAAAUGCGUAGAGAUCUGGAGGAAUACCGAUGGCGAAGGCAGCCAUCUGGCCUAAUACUGACGCUGAGGUACGAAAGCAUGGGGAGCAAACAGGAUUAGAUACCCAAGUAGUCCCUGUCUCUUAUAA
rnacentral:rRNA from 1 species